rnacentral:rRNA from 1 species
GACGAACGCUGGCGGCGUGCUUAACACAUGCAAGUCGAACGAAGAUAUGUUGAAAGCUUGCUGAUACAUAUUUUAGUGGCGGACGGGUGAGUAACGCGUGAGGACUUGUCUAGUACAGGGGGACAACAGUUGGAAACGGCUGCUAAUACCCCAUAAGCCUAAGGGUAAAAGGAGCAAUCCGGGACAGGAGAGACUCGCGUCCUAUCAGGUAGUAGGUGGGGUAACGGCCCACCUAGGCGAGGACGGGUAGUCGGCCUGAGAGGGGGAACGGCCACACUGGAACUGAGACACGGUCCAGACUCCUCCGGGAGGCAGCAGUGGGGAAUAUUGGGCAAUGGAGGGAACUCUGACCCAGCGACGCCGCGUGAGUGAAGAAAUCCCUCGGGAUGUAAAGCUCUGUUGUGUGGGAAGAUAAUGACGGUACCACACGAGGAAGCCCCGGCAAACUACGUGCCAGCCGCCGCCGUAA